UCAGACGAUGCGUCAUGCAUAUCAAUAAGCGGAGGAAAAGAAACUAACAAGGAUUCCCCUAGUAACGGCGAGUGAAGCGGGAAGAGCUCAAAUUUGAAAUCUUAAAGGGUUUCCCUUUACGAAUUGUAGUUUAAAGAAGUGUUUUCUGUUGAGGUUUUGGUAAAAGUUCUUUGGAAUAGGACAUCAUAGAGGGUGAGAAUCCCGUAUUUGACCUUUACUUUCAACUUUGUGGAUACACUUUCAAAGAGUCGGAUUGUUUGGGAAUGCAGUCCAAAAUGGGUGGUAAAUUUCAUCUAAAGCUAAAUAUUGGCGAGAGACCGAUAGCGAACAAGUACCGUGAGGGAAAGAUGAAAAGAACUUUGAAAAGAGAGUUAAACAGUACGUGAAAUUGUCAAAAGGGAAGCGUUUGACACCAGUGUUGUUUUUCUGAAAAUCAAUUAAAGAACUGUUCAUGCUAAGCUGUUUAGACUUUAUCAGCUAUCUGUUUAGUUUUGAGCUUUUCUUUAAUGCACUUUUCAGUUAACAAGUCAACAUCAAUUUCUUUUGCUGUAAAAAAGCUUGAGGAAGGUGGCUUGAGAUUCGUCUUAAGUGUUUAUAGCCUCUUGCCUAUGCAGUCGGAGAGAUUGAGGUCUGCAGCGUAGAUCCUUCGGGGCUAAAUGCAUUUGUGCUAAGUUAUAGCAUUUUAUAGACAACUUGUUGACUAUGAUUUGUCUUGUAGCUUACUCGCUUAUGUUAUUUUACCUACGCUUAGGAUGUUGACACACGCGCGUGCUCG
rnacentral:rRNA from 1 species